rnacentral:rRNA from 1 species
AGUGAACGCUGGCGGUAAGCCUAACACAUGCAAGUCGAACGGCAGCACAGUAAGAGCUUGCUCUUACGGGUGGCGAGUGGCGGACGGGUGAGGAAUACAUCGGAAUCUACUUUUUCGUGGGGGAUAACGUAGGGAAACUUACGCUAAUACCGCAUACGACCUACGGGUGAAAGCAGGGGAUCUUCGGACCUUGCGCGAUUGAAUGAGCCGAUGUCGGAUUAGCUAGUUGGCGGGGUAAAGGCCCACCAAGGCGACGAUCCGUAGCUGGUCUGAGAGGAUGAUCAGCCACACUGGAACUGAGACACGGUCCAGACUCCUACGGGAGGCAGCAGUGGGGAAUAUUGGACAAUGGGCGCAAGCCUGAUCCAGCCAUACCGCGUGGGUGAAGAAGGCCUUCGGGUUGUAAAGCCCCUUUGUUGGGAAAGAAAAGCAGCAGGUUAAUACCCCGCUGUUCUGACGGUACCCAAAGAAUAAGCACCGGCUAACUUCGUG